rnacentral:rRNA from 1 species
UACGGGGGGGGCAAGCGUUGUUCGGAAUUACUGGGCGUAAAGGGCUCGUAGGUGGCCAACUAAGUCAGACGUGAAAUCCCUCGGCUUAACCGGGGAACUGCGUCUGAUACUGGAUGGCUUGAAUCCGGGAGAGGGAUGUGGAAUUCCAGGUGUAGCGGUGAAAUGCGUAGAUAUCUGGAGGAACAUCGGUGGCGAAGGCGGCAUCCUGGACCGGUAUUGACGCUGAGGCGCGAAAGCCAGGGGAGCAAACGGG